GGUUUAAUAGACAUGGAUAAGAAGUCCACUCACAGAAAUCCUGAAGAUGCCAGGGCUGGCAAAUAUGAAGGUAAACACAAACGAAAGAAAAGAAGAAAGCAAAACCAAAACCAGCACCGAUCCCGACAUAGAUCAGUGACGUCUUUUUCUUCAGAUGAUCCUAUGUUUCCUUCUUCCUCAUCAUCGUCUUCAGGAAGCCAGACAGAUUCAAGUAUUGAAGGACAAAAUAUGAAACACCAAGAAAAAGAGAAGGAAAAAAAGGAGGAAACAACCACAUAUGUCACCUUUCCAAGAGGGACUGAAACUGGGCUGACCCUUUUGAUUUCCAAGCUCAGCGUUUUGGUGUAAGGCGGCCAAAGAAGGAUGCGGAGCCCAGCACUGUGAAGCCUACAAAAACAUUGAUGCGCUGGCUUGGGGAUUUGAAUUUGAACAUCUUUCACACUAAGUUCAGACUCAUGAAACCAAUCUUCAGAUGCUCUGUAAACCACAUAAUAAAGAGUUUGGAAAUUAUAUUUUGUUUUUGAAGGCCCACGUGCAAAACUUGAGAGCCUCAAGUCCAAGCCAGUUGUGGCAAUUCUAGCCUACUUUUUUUUUAUAUUCAAGUGUGUUGUAGGGAAGGAGGAGAAUAAGUCUGCUUUCUUGAAUAUUAUGCCUAAUUAAUUACGUAUAAAAUACUUUUACCAAAGUUCUAUGCAAGGUAGAAGACUUACAGAUGGCAUGAAAAAGAUAAAGUCUUUUCCAUGUUUUUUUUUUUUUUUUUUUUUUUUUUUGAGACAGAGUUUCACUCUGGUCGCCCAGGCUGGAGUGCAGUGGGCCAGUGUCGCCUCACGGCAACCUCCGCCUCCCAGGUUCAAGUGCUUCUCCUGCCUCAGCCUCCUGAGUAUCUGGGACUACAGGUCCAUGCCACCACACCCAGCUGAUUUUGUAUUUCUAGUAGAGACAUGGUUUCGCUAUUUUGUCCAGGCUGCUCUCGAACUCCUGACCUCAGGUUAUCUGUUCCCCACGGCAUCCCAAAGUGCUGGGAUUACAGGCGUGAACUACCGUGCUUGGCCUCUGUGUACUUCUUUUUUGUUGUUAUUGUUUUUGAGAUGGAGUUUCACUCUUGUCAUACAGGCUGGAGUGCAGUGGCGCCAUCUCAGCUCACUGCAACCUCUGUCUCCUGGGUUCAAGCGAUUCUCAUGCCUCAGCCUCCCAAGUAGCUGGGAUUACAGGUGUGCACCACCACGCCCAGCUAAUUUUUGUAUUUUUAGUAAAGACAGGGUUUCACCAUGUUGGCCAGGCUGGUCUCGAACUCCUAACCUCAGGUGAUCUACCCACUUCAGUCUCCCAAAGCGCUGGGAUUACAGGUGUGAGCCACCGUACCUGGCCCAUGUACUUCUUACUUAGUUUUUCUUCCCGCGUCUUAUGUUUACAUUUGCAAUUAUGUCUUCUUCUUUCAACAAAUAUUACAGGUUUUCAUAAUCUCAAAUAUUUGUUUUUAGAGCAUGAUGUAAUGUUCCUUUGCAUUAGGUACACUGAUUGUGGGUUUCCAACAAAAAGUUUUCAGGUCUAAAAAUGAUCACAUCAUGCAGUAUACCCAGGAAUCAAACCUGCACAUCUAUCCCCUAAGUCUAAAAAUGAAAGUUGAAAAAAAUAAAAAUUAUAUAAGAAAAAAAUUAUCACAGUGUUUUAUAAAAUAAGAAAGCAGACCACGCGUGGUGACUGAGGCUUGUAAUCCCAGCACUUUAGGAGGCCAAGGCAGGCGGAUUGCUUUAGCUCAGGAGUUUGAGGCCAGCCUGGCCGAAAUGGUGAAACUCUGUCUCUACAAACACACACACACACACACGGUGAAACUCUGUCUCUACAAACACACACACACACACACACACACACACACAAAUUUAGCCAGGCAUGGUGGCACAUGCCUGUAGUCCCAGCUACUCGGGAGGCUGAGGUGGGAGGAUUGCUUGAGCUUGGGAGGCAGAGGCUGCGGUGAGCGAAGAUCACACCACUGCACUCCAGCCUGGGCGCCAGAGCAAGACUCUGUCUACAAAAAACAACAAACAGAAACAGCAAUUUGCCAGGUAAGCCUUUUAUGUUGCCUUUGAUAGUUUUAUAGAUCCUUGGGAUUUUUGCUCACUUAGGUUUAUGAUUGAAUGUGUAUCCCAUCUAACUGUGUACUUGAUAUUUGCUUUUAAAACAAACUCCUGUUAGAAGUAAAUGUUGAAAGAGAGGGCUAGGUUGUUUUUUUUAUAUUCAUUCAGUCAUUGAUUCAUUUAUUUAUUUAUUCAGGGUCUUGGCUGUGUUACCUAGGCUGGAGUGUGAGAGUAUGAUCAUGGCUCACUGCAGCCUAGACCUCUUGGAUUCAAAUGAUGCUCCCACUUCAGCCUCCCAAGUAGCUGGGACCACAGGUGCACACCACCAUGUCCAGCUAAUUUUUAGAUUUUUUUGUAGAGACAUGGUCUUUCUGUGUUGCCCCGGCUGGUCUCGUACUCCUGGCUUCAAGCAAUGGCCCCACCUUGGCCUCCCAAAAUGAAGAUUACAAGUGUGAGCCACUGUGCCUAAUUGAUUUUUUUAUUGGAAAUUUUGAUACUGUUACGUUGUCACUGAGGCAGACAACUUAAAAAUAAUCUUGAGUAUCAUUCUGUGCCGAUGUUAGAAUUUAAUAUGCUGUUCGUAGGCCAGGCUCAGUAGCUCACGCCUGUAAUCUCAGCACUUUGGGACGCCAAAAGCAGGAGGAUCUCUUGAGCCCCCAGGAGUUUGAGACAAGCCUGGGCAGCAUAAAGAGACCCCCAUCUCUAAAAAAAAAAAAAUAGAAAAAUUAGCCAGACAUGAUGAUGCCAACCUGUAGUCCUGGCUACUUGGGAAGCUGAGGUAGGAGGAUCGCUUGAGCCCAGGAAUUUGAGGCUGCAGUGAACUAUGAUUACACCACUGUACUCCAGCCAGGGUGACAGAGCAAGACCCUAUCUCUAAAACUAUUUUUAAAAAUAAAACAAUAUGUUGUUCAUAUUAUCCUAAUGUAGUGUUUUACUGAAUAGAAUUCCUUAAAGGAUUCUUUUCCCCAAGGAUAUUAACUCAAGAUAAAUUAAGCAUCUUUAUCUUUGAUUACAGAGAUAUUUAGCAUAUGACUAUAGAUAAUUUCCCCUUCAUAUUUUCUUGGGCUUCUAGUAUUUAUGUAUCAAGAAAAUUAUUUCCUUAUGUUUGAAAUGGUGACAUUUCUGAAAUGUACCAGCAGAGGAUACAGGGAUUUUUGUUUGUUUUUCAUUUUCUUAUUUACUGAAGAAAUAAAGGCAUUUUAGUUUAUAAAUGGACUGUUUCUUUUUUCCAGGAAAACUAAUAUUCAUAAUUAUGGGAAAACCGUGGUCUCUUCAAAAGGGCAUAAUAAAAUGUAGAUAUUAGACAUUAUUUCAAAUCGUUUUUUGUUAUUUGUAGAUUAAUUAAAACAGUAACCAUACCUCUGGAAGACAGAAU
rnacentral:lncRNA from 1 species